UGAAGAUAACUCUUUAUAAAUGUCCUAGAGAAAUAUAGUAGCUUUCUGGUCACCCUUGGCAAGUAAAAAAGGGUGGAUCGUUCCACUACUGACACCA
rnacentral:snoRNA from 1 species